UACGAAGGGGGCGAGCGUUGUUCGGAUUUACUGGGCGUAAAGGGCGCGUAGGCGGCCUUGUCAGUCAGGCGUGAAAGCCCCGGGCUCAACCUGGGAACGGCGCUUGGGACGGCGAGGCUGGAGUUCGGGAGAGGAGAGUGGAAUUCCCAGUGUAGAGGUGAAAUUCGUAGAUAUUGGGAGGAACACCAGUGGCGAAGGCGGCUCACUGGCUCGACACUGACGCUGAGGUGCGAAAGCGUGGGGAGCAAACAGG
rnacentral:rRNA from 1 species